AGAAGAUUCCACCUAAACAUUAGGAAGAACUUCCUGACAGUAAGAGCUGUUUGACAGUGGAAUUUGCUGCCAAGGAGUGUGGUGGAGUCUCCUUCUUUGGAGGUCUUUAAGCAGAGGCUUGACAACCAUAUGUCAGGAGUGCUCUGAUGGUGUUUCCUGCUUGGCAGGGGGUUGGACUCGAUGGCCCUUGUGGUCUCUUCCAACUCUAUGAUUCUAUGAUU